rnacentral:rRNA from 1 species
GAUGAACGUUGGCGGCGUGCCUAAUACAUGCAAGUCGAGCGAACAGACAAGGAGCUUGCUCCUUUGACGUUAGCGGCGGACGGGUGAGUAACACGUGGGCAACCUACCUAUAAGACUGGGAUAACUUCGGGAAACCGGAGCUAAUACCGGAUAAUAUUUCGAACCGCAUGGUUCGAUAGUGAAAGAUGGUUUUGCUAUCACUUACAGAUGGACCCGCGCCGUAUUAGCUAGUUGGUAAGGUAACGGCUUACCAAGGCGACGAUACGUAGCCGACCUGAGAGGGUGAUCGGCCACACUGGAACUGAGGCACGGUCCAGACUCCUACGGGAGGCAGCAGUAGGGAAUCUUCCGCAAUGGGCGAAAGCCUGACGGAGCAACGCCGCGUGAGUGAUGAAGGUCUUCGGAUCGUAAAACUCUGUUAUUAGGGAAGAACAUACAUGUAAGUAACUAUGCACGUCUUGACGGUACCUAAUCAGAAAGCCACGGCUAACUACGUGCCAGCAGCCGCGGUAAUACGUAGGUGGCAAGCGUUAUCCGGAAUUAUUGGGCGUAAAGCGCGCGUAGGGCGGUUUUUUAAGUCUGAUGUGAAAGCCCACGGCUCAACCGUGGAGGGUCAUUGGAAACUGGAAAACUUGAGUGCAGAAGAGGAAAAGUGGAUUCCAUGUGUAGCGGUGAAAAUGCGCAGAGAUAUGGAGGAACACCAGUGGCGAAGGCGACUUUCUUGGUCUGUAACUGACGCUGAUGUGCGAAAGCGUGGGGAUCAAACAGGAUUAGAUACCCUGGUAGUCCACGCCGUAAACGAUGAGUGCUAAGUGUUAGGGGGUUUCCGCCCCUUAGUGCUGCAGCUAACGCAUUAAGCACUCCGCCUGGGGAGUACGACCGCAAGGUUGAAACUCAAAGGAAUUGACGGGGACCCGCACAAGCGGUGGAGCAUGUGGUUUAAUUCGAAGCAACGCGAAGAACCUUACCAAAUCUUGACAUCCUUUGACAACUCUAGAGAUAGAGCCUUCCCCUUCGGGGGACAAAGUGACAGGUGGUGCAUGGUUGUCGUCAGCUCGUGUCGUGAGAUGUUGGGUUAAGUCCCGCAACGAGCGCAACCCUUAAGCUUAGUUGCCAUCAUUAAGUUGGGCACUCUAAGUUGACUGCCGGUGACAAACCGGAGGAAGGUGGGGAUGACGUCAAAUCAUCAUGCCCCUUAUGAUUUGGGCUACACACGUGCUACAAUGGACAAUACAAAGGGCAGCGAAACCGCGAGGUCAAGCAAAUCCCAUAAAGUUGUUCUCAGUUCGGAUUGUAGUCUGCAACUCGACUACAUGAAGCUGGAAUCGCUAGUAAUCGUAGAUCAGCAUGCUACGGUGAAUACGUUCCCGGGUCU